GGUCCCAGACUUGCGGUGACGAGCAACAGCCACAAAAGCACAUCCAUGUGGGCAUGCGCUGACAUUCCCAUCUCUCUUUUUAAAAGCAGGCUGUGAUAAUGUGUCGUCCAUAUUCUUCACCUCUCUUCUCUCCCUUUAGAGCUCCUCAUACUUCCUCAUCUACAAAAGGCCUGAAGUCAGGGCCAAAAGAGCCUGAGAAGUGGGGCUAUACAAAGAAGCAAUCUCCCCUCAACAAGGACCCCGGCUUGACUACAGGCUGGAGGAGCGGCAGGUUUUCUCCGAAGACUGACCUGUGAGACAUUGUGGGGCCUUGAGGACGGUGCUUGAGUUUGGCUUUGCCUAAAAAAGGAAGCAAUACGGUUGAGCCUGAGACGCCUGCUGCAGGAACAAGUGAUGCUGUGAAUGGAACCUAUAUCAUCUCUCUGCCUCACAUUAACACCAAGCAAUACCCUGCUAUACCCAGCUCCAUUCACAGCAC